CGGCGUGUAGCGCAGCCUGGUAGCGCACAUCCUUCGGGAGGAUGGGGUCGAAGGUUCAAAUCCUUUCACGCCGACCA
rnacentral:tRNA from 1 species